ensembl:lncRNA
GUCCGGCUCUCCUGGGAUGAAGAUGAUAUCCGUCCUACCUCUGGCGUCACGCCCUGCUGGGGGACGGCAAACUUGCAGUCUGUUCAAGAAAGUCGUGUCCGGAAGCAUAGGAAGGGAGCUUUUGACCCAACCUGAGACUCUGGCAGUGGAGUUUUCGGAUAGACUAUUCGGGUCAAAACCGGGACUUGCAGAGAGAGGAUGAAUGAAAGGAAAAUUAUAAAUAGACGGUGUCUAUUUAUAUAGCAUCAUGUAAGUUGUCAUUUUAAAAGUUACAUUUUACGGUUUAAUCUUGUUUUCGUUUCUAAUCACAAAUGGACGGGAGCACCUAAGUUCUUAAUAGGAUCUACAUGUAUGGAUGUGAGAGUUGGACUGUGAAGAAGGCUGAGCGCCGAAGAAUUGAUGCUUUUGAACUGUGGUGUUGGAGAAGACUCUUGAGAGUCCCUUGGACUGCAAGGAGAUCCAACCAGUCCAUUCUGAAGGAGAUCAGCCCUGGGUGUUCUUUGGAAGGAAUGAUGCUGAAGCUGAAACUCCAGUACUUUGGCCACCUCAUGCGAAGAGUUGAUUCAUUGGAAAAGACUGAUGCUGGGAGGGAUUGGGGGCAGGAGGAGAAGGGGACGACAGAGGAUGAGAUCGCUGGAUGGCAUCACGGACUCGAUGGACCACCAUGUAUGAAAGCGAAAGUGAAGUCGCUCAGUCGUG